rnacentral:rRNA from 1 species
CAAUGUCACCGUCGUACGGGUGCGUAACGCGUAUGCAACCUACCUUCAACCGGGGGAUAGCCCGGGGAAACCCGGAUUAAUACCACAUGAUACAGUGAAUUCACAUGGAUUUAUUUGUUAAAGAUUUAUUGGUUGAAGAUGGGCAUGCGUUCGAUUAGCUAGUUGGCAGGGUAACGGCCUACCAAGGCCACGAUCGGUAGGGGAGCUGAGAGGUUGAUCCCCCACACGGGCACUGAGAUACGGGCCCGACUCCUACGGGAGGCAGCAGUAGGGAAUAUUGGGCAAUGGAUGCAAGUCUGACCCAGCCAUGCCGCGUGCCGGAUGAAGGCCCUCAGGGUUGUAAACGGCUUUUAUUCGGGAAGAAGAAUGGGGAUGCGUCCCUUAGUGACGGUACCGAAUGAAUAAGCACCGGCUAACUCCGUGCCAGCAGCCGCGGUAAUACGGAG